rnacentral:rRNA from 1 species
ACGAACGCUGGCGGCGUGCUUAACACAUGCAAGUCGAACGGAAAGGCCCUGCUUGCAGGGUACUCGAGUGGCGAACGGGUGAGUAACACGUGGGUGAUCUGCCCUGCACUUCGGGAUAAGCCUGGGAAACUGGGUCUAAUACCGGAUAGGAGCCAUUUUUAGUGUGAUGGUUGGAAAGUUUUUUCGGUGUAGGAUGAGCUUGCGGCCUAUCAGCUUGUUGGUGGGGUAAUGGCCUACCAAGGCGGCGACGGGUAGCCGGCCUGGGAGGGUGGACGGCCACAUUGGGACUGGGAGACGGCCCAGACUCCUACGGGAGGCAGCAGGGGGGAAUAUUGCACAAUGGGCGCAAGCCUGAUGCAGCGACGCCGCGUGGGGGAUGACGGCCUUCGGGUUGUAAACUCCUUUCGCUAGGGACGAAGCUUUUUGUGACGGUACCUAGAUAAGAAGCUCCGGCUAACUACGUG